UUAAAGCCUUUUGGAUGGCCACUACUGGG
rnacentral:piRNA from 1 species